GUAGUCACCAAGUUCUUCCUUAUGCCUGGUCUAAAGUCACUCAUUUCUUCAUUCACUUGACAAAAGUUCACUGGUCACCUACUGUGGACAAUGUGUGCGCCUUCAGUGAACCCCAGUGUCAUCCAUGCUGUUCAGGUGGAGGAGACAAUUUGGGCAAUGUCCUUAAAUAUCCACGAGGGAGCUAAUGAAGCCCCCUCUAGCUCUCUGGUAUCUUGGCUAAUCCCAGGUUCUGGUAGCUUUCUCUAACAAACACUCAUCUAACUGAAUUGUAACCCAGAACCCUUUAUCUCCCCUCCCAGAAGAAAGUCACCAUAAGGCAAAUCCACCGUGAGCAACACCUACCAAGCCAUCCUCUCCACGGACGGGAGCAGGUCCUAUGCCCUGUUUCUCUACCAGAGCGGUAGGAUGCAGUGGGACGUGGCCCAGCACUCAGGCAACCUGGUGCUCAUAGGCUUCUCCAGUGGAGAUGGCUAUUUCGAAAACAGCCCACUGAUGUCCCAGCCAGUGUGGGAGCGGUAUCGCCCUGAUAGAUUCCUGAAUUCCAACUCAGG
rnacentral:sRNA from 1 species